rnacentral:rRNA from 1 species
GCCUACGGGAGGCAGCAGUGGGGAAUUUUGGACAAUGGGGGAAACCCUGAUCCAGCCAUUCCGCGUGAGUGAAGAAGGCCUGGUUGUAAGCUCUUUCUAGGAGGGAAGGAAACGGUUAGCAGCUAAUACCUGCGACUAAUGACGGUACCUUCAGAAGAAGCACCGGCUAACUACGUGCCA